GACGAACGCUGGCGGCGUGCUUAACACAUGCAAGUCGAACGGAAAGGCCCUGCUAUUGUGGGGUGCUCGAAUGGCGAACGGGUGAGUAACACGUGAGUAGCCUGCCCAUGACUUUGGGAUAACUUCUGGAACCUGGGGCUAAUACCGGAUAGGAGCUCCUGGUGCAUGGUGGGGGCUGGAAAGUUUCGGCGGUUGGGGAUGGACACGCGGCUUGUCAGCUUGUUGGUGGGGUAGUGGCUUACCGAGGCUUUGACGGGUAGCCGGCCUGAGAGGGUGACCGGCCACAUUGGGACUGAGAUACGGCCCAGACUCCUACGGGAGGCAGCAGUGGGGAAUAUUGCACAAUGGGCGGAAGCCUGAUGCAGCAACGCCGCGUGCGGGAUGACGGCCUUCGGGUUGUAAACCGCUUUCGCCUGUGACGAAGCGUGAGUGACGGUAAUGGGUAAAGAAGCACCAGCUAACUACGUG
rnacentral:rRNA from 1 species